UACGGGGGGGGCAAGCGUUGUUCGGAAUUACUGGGCGUAAAGGGCUCGUAGGCGGCCAACUAAGUCAGACGUGAAAUCCCUCGGCUUAACCGGGGAACUGCGUCUGAUACUGGAUGGCUUGAAUCCGGGAGAGGGAUGCGGAAUUCCAGGUGUAGCGGUGAAAUGCGUAGAUAUCUGGAGGAACACCGGUGGCGAAGGCGGUGCUCUGGGCCGGAACUGACGCUGAGGAGCGAAAGCGUGGGGAGCAAACAGG
rnacentral:rRNA from 1 species